AGAAUGCACAUUAAUUAUCCUUGGGGCCAAGAAAUAAACAAAAACCCUACAAAAACAAGUUAACACACCCUAGAAUGGUUCUAGCACAAUUACUAACUUAUUUCUCUAAUACCAGUCAAAGGGAAAAACCC
rnacentral:pre_miRNA from 1 species